UACGGGGGGAGCAAGCGUUGUUCGGAUUUACUGGGCGUAAAGGGCGGGUAGGCGGCCACCGCAAGUCAGUUGUGAAAUCUCUGGGCUUAACCCAGAAAGGUCAACUGAUACUGCGGGGCUAGAGUGCAGAAGGGGCAACUGGAAUUCUCGGUGUAGCGGUGAAAUGCGUAGAUAUCGAGAGGAACACCUGCGGCGAAGGCGGGUUGCUGGGCUGACACUGACGCUGAACUGCGAAAGCUAGGGGAGCGAAC
rnacentral:rRNA from 1 species